rnacentral:lncRNA from 1 species
AGAUGGGACCGGAGAAGCCGAAGCAAGGGAUCUCAUAGCUGGGGAACAGAGUAGUCUUUCUCGGAACCACCUGGGCUCACUUAAGACUCAUGACCUUGACUGUUUCAAGACUCCACCACACUGCCUCUCCUGCUCUGGUGUGUCUGCCUCUGCCUGCUGCAGCUUGAAUGCUGCCUCUCCUGGUCUCACCCACCACUUCCUGCUUCCAGGAAACAGAAGCAAAAUGUCCCUGGACUCCAAGGUUUGCCUGCUGCUCUGCCUUCAAUGUGUCCUCCAAAAUUCCUUGUGCUUUAGAGUUCAGAAGACUUAGUCCUCAAAAGCAGACAUAAGCAGUUUGGAAGUGGAGCCUCUUGAGAGGCACUCUUGAGAGGUUACAAGGGUAAGGCAUCAGUGACUUUGUUGUGAAGACCCGAGUUGGUUUCACUGGGUUCUACAAAGGAAAUGAGAUUUUGUGUCAUGCUGGCGCUUUGAUAUUGGGCUUCCCAGUCUCCAAAGCCAUGUCCCAAAUAAACUCCUAUUCAUUAU